AAAAAAAAAUAAAAUAAAAAAUAUUGUGAUUGAAAUAAGUGAAAUUUUAUAAAUACUAUAUAAGUUAUAUUAAGAUAUAAUUUAUAAUGAUUAAUUAUUAUGAAAUAAAAGAAAUAAUAAUCCAGUUGAAUAUCUUUUCUUGGUUUUAAAGUUGAAAUAUAUUAAUGUAAUCAGGUUUGAUUUUCCAAUUAUGUUAAUAUUUUCUGCUGGUUUCAGAGUCACCAAACAGGACGUGGUAGACGAAUUACUACGCCGGUAUAAUGACUAAAACACCCUUCCUGAGAGGGACCCAUCUCACAAAUCACACCAACACGAAAGGGCAAAGAUGGAAGAAGGGCAGAGAGGAGCGAUAAAAACACAUAGGAAAACACGCGCAGGGUUUCGACGCUCUCUGGAACAAGAAUGAGGCUCAUCUGUAGCGGACGGGAUGAUUAAGACGUAGUCGUCCCACCGUCGGAGCCAAUGAUUUCAGGGCGUUCUAUUUACCCGCCCAACAUUUAUCUGCUUCUUUCUUUUCUUUUCUUUUCCUUUUUUUGUAUUUUCUCUCCCCCCUUUUAAGCUUUAUGCCUACUGAUAUUUAUAUUAAAUGUCCUAGGGUUAAGUUUUAAAGUCCCAAAGGCAGUAGAAGUCUGAAUGGCAUGCCCAAAUAGGAGCUAGAGUCAAAUUAG
rnacentral:misc_RNA from 1 species